ACCUAUUCUUUUCGGAUUCCUCUUGGUGAUCAUAAUAACUUAACGAAUCGCAUGGCCUUGCGCCGGCGAUGGUUCAUUCAAAUUUCUGCCCUAUCAACUUUCGAUGGUAGGAUAGUGGCCUACCAUGGUGGCAACGGGUAACGGGGAAUUAGGGUUCGAUUCCGGAGAGGGAGCCUGAGAAACGGCUACCACAUCCAAGGAAGGCAGCAGGCGCGCAAAUUACCCAAUCCCGACACGGGGAGGUAGUGACAAUAAAUACUGAUACGGGGCUCUUUUGGGUCUCGUAAUUGGAAUGAGUACAAUCUAAAUCCCUUAACGAGGAACAAUUGGAGGGCAAGUCUGGUGCCAGCAGCCGCGGUAAUUCCAGCUCCAAUAGCGUGUAUUAAAGUUGUUGCAGUUAAAAAGCUCGUAGUUGAACCUUGGGUCUGGCUGGCCGGUCCGCCUCACCGCGAGUACUGGUCCGGCUGGACCUUCCUUCGGGGAACACUUCUAUUAAAAAGCCUC
rnacentral:rRNA from 1 species